CUACGGGAGGCUCCAGUGGGGAAUUUUGCGCAAUGGGGGAAACCCUGACGCAGCAACGCCGCGUGAAGGAUGAAGGCCUUUGGGUCGUAAACUUCUGUCAGUGGGAAAGAAAUACUCGAAAGAGGGAUGACGGUACCCACAAAGGAAGCACCGGCUAACCCGUGCCAGCAGCCGCGGUAAUACGGAGGGUGCAAGCGUUGUUCGGAAUUAUUGGGCGUAAAGCGCAUGUAGGCGGACUGUUAAGUCUGGUGUGAAAGCCCGGGGCUCAACCCCGGAAGUGCAUUGGAUACUGGUAGUCUUGAGUAUGGGAGAGGAAAGUGGAAUUCCGGGUGUAGGAGUGAAAUCCGUAGAUAUUCGGAGGAACACCAGUGGCGAAGGCGGCUUUCUGGACCAAUACUGACGCUGAGAUGCGAAAGCGUGGGGAGCAAACAGGAUUAGAUACCCCGGUAGUC
rnacentral:rRNA from 1 species